rnacentral:rRNA from 1 species
GACGAACGCUGGCGGCGUGCUUAACACAUGCAAGUCGAACGGAAAGGCCCUGCUUUUGUGGGGUGCUCGAGUGGCGAACGGGUGCGUAACACGUGAGUAACCUGCCCUUGACUUUGGGAUAACUUCAGGAAACUGGGGCUAAUACCGGAUCGGAGCUCCUGCUGCAUGGUGGGGGUUGGAACGUCUCGGCGGUUGGGGAUGGAUUCGCGGCUUAUCAGCUUGUUGGUGGGGUAGUGGCUUACCAAGGCUUGGACGGGUAGCCGGCCUGAGAGGGUGACCGGCCACAUUGGGACUGAGAUACGGCCCAGACUCCUACGGGAGGCAGCAGUGGGGAAUAUUGCACAAUGGGCGGAAGCCUGAUGCAGCAACGCCGCGUGCGGGAUGACGGCCUUCUGGUUGUAAACCGCUUUCGCCUGUGACGAAGCGGGAGUGACGGUAAUGGGUAAAGAAGCACCGGCUAACUACGUG